rnacentral:rRNA from 1 species
GCGGUAAUUCCAGCUCUGUAAGCGUAUACCAAAGUUGUUGCAGUUAAAACGCUCGUAGUCGGACGUUGGCGGGCGCUGUUUCUCGGCCUCACGGUCGAUGUUGCGGCGGCCGCCUUUGUGGAGGGGGGCUUCGUGGUGCUUCAUUGCAUUGCGUUUGUCGCUGCCACCGUUUACUGUGAAAAAAUUAGAGUGUUCAAAGCGGGCGUUUGCCAUGAAUACAUUAGCAUGGAAUAAUAGAAUAGGACCUAGUCCUGUUUUGUUGGUUUGUUUGUACUAGGUAAUGAUUAAGAGGGACGGUUGGGGGCAUUUGUAUUCCGGGGUUAGAGGUGAAAUUCUCGGAUU